UGGGCGCUGGAGAACUGAGGGGGGCUGCUCCUAGUACGAGAGGACCGGAGUGGACGCAUCACUGGUGUUCGGGUUGUCAUGCCAAUGGCACUGCCCGGUAGCUAAAUGCGGAAGAGAUAAGUGCUGAAAGCAUCUAAGCACGAAACUUGCCCCGAGAUGAGUUCUCCCUGACUCCUUGAGAGUCCUGAAGGAACGUUGAAGACGACGACGUUGAUAGGCCGGGUGUGUAAGCGCAGCGAUGCGUUGAGCUAACCGGUACUAAUGAACCGUGAGGCUUAACCUUACAACGCCGAAG
rnacentral:rRNA from 1 species